AUAAUAGAAUGAGGUUAGCUCGUUUAGUAUAUAUUUUUUACGUAGAUGGAAGCACGGGUUUUCAGUGGGCAUAAUGUACCAAUGCACGUGUGCCAACUUGUA